ACUCAAAUGAAUUGACGGGGGCCCGCACAAGCGGCGGAGCGUGCGGUUUAAUUCGACGCAACGCGCAGAACCUUACCAGGGCUUGACAUGCCCCUGCGCAUCCCGGGAAACCGGGACCUCUUCGAGAGGGGGGCACAGGUGCUGCAUGGCUGUCGUCAGCUCGUGUCGUGAGAUGUUGGGUUAAGUCCCGCAACGAGCGCAACCCUCGUGGGUGGUUGCCGGAGGUUUCGACCCAGACUGCCGGUAGCAAGCCGGAGGAAGGUGGGGAUGACGUCAAGUCAGCAUGGCCCUUACGCCCUGGGCCACACGCACGCUACAAUGGCCGGGACAGUGGGCUGCCAAACCGCAAGGUGGAGCGAAUCCCCCAAACCCGGUCUCAGUUCAGAUCGGGGGCUGCAACCCGCCCCCGUGAAGGUGGAGUCGCUAGUAACCGCGGGUCAGCACUACCGCGGUGAAUACGUUCCCGGGCCUUGUACACACCGCCCGU
rnacentral:rRNA from 1 species